UCUAUACUCCCACCUCAGAGGCUGACAGGCCAUGUUCAUGCUGUUUGGAACACCGACCUUGGGCCAUUUGGACGUGUAUUGAUGCUAUGGACUGGCCCGCCCGUUCCCCAGACCUGAAUCCAAUUGAGCACAUCUGGGACAUCAUGUCUCGCUCCAUCCACCAACGCCACGUUGCACCACAGACUGUCCAGGAGCAUGCCCAGGCAUUGUAGGGAAGUCAUACAGGCACGUGGUGGCCACACACACUACUGAGCCUCAUUUUGACUUGUUUUAAGGACAUUACAUCAAAGUUGGAUCAGCCUGUAGUGUGUUUUUCCACUUUAAUUUUGAGUGUGACUCCAAAUCUAGACCUCCAUGGGUUAAUAAAUUUGAAUUCCAUUGAUAA